AGUGAACGCUGGCGGUAGGCCUAACACAUGCAAGUCGAACGGCAGCACAGUAAGAGCUUGCUCUUACGGGUGGCGAGUGGCGGACGGGUGAGGAAUACAUCGGAAUCUACUUUUUCGUGGGGGAUAACGUAGGGAAACUUACGCUAAUACCGCAUACGACCUACGGGUGAAAGCAGGGGAUCUUCGGACCUUGCGCGAUUGAAUGAGCCGAUGUCGGAUUAGCUAGUUGGCGGGGUAAAGGCCCACCAAGGCGACGAUCCGUAGCUGGUCUGAGAGGAUGAUCGGCCACACUGGCACUGAGACACGGUCCAGACUCCUACGGGAGGCAGCAGUGGGGAAUAUUGGACAAUGGGCGCAAGCCUGAUCCAGCCAUACCGCGUGGGUGAAGAAGGCCUUCGGGUUGUAAAGCCCUUUUGUUGGGAAAGAAAAGCAGCAGGUUAAUACCCCGCUGUUCUGACGGUACCCAAAGAAUAAGCACCGGCUAACUUCGUG
rnacentral:rRNA from 1 species